GAGAAUGAACGUGAAAGAACAAACCCACAGUACGAACUCCAAAAGAUGUUAAUACUGAAAUUUCUACUUGGGUGUUCGGAAUAAAAGGGAAUAUACCUACUUUGUAUGACACACUGUUUCUGGCAUAAACAAGGAAUGUUGGGUUUUCUCCAUAUUUACAGAUUCAAUUGUGCCCCCCUUAUUACACAAUUACGGAGACCAACAUAUUAUCUUUAAGGGUUAUUAAAUGCACGGAGCAUAUCGCCAGAAGCGAUUUCCUAAAGAUAUAUAAAUAGCUGGGUAAAAGCUAUAUAAUGUAUCAUAAAGUUUAAUCCCUUUUAAACAAAAUCCGUUGAGAGGAUUGACAUUGCAUAAAGCAAGUCCCUAAAGGACAUGUGCUUGAAGCACAAAAUUUGUACUCAAUAUUAAUAUGCAUAAAUUACCUCAGUGAGUACAUUGAUUAUAAUGUGUUUG
rnacentral:lncRNA from 1 species